GCAAUGGUGGGUCAGUGGUAGAAUUCCCAUCUUGCACACAGGAGAUCCUGGUUCCAUUCCUGGCCAGUGUG
rnacentral:tRNA from 1 species